CUAAUACCGUAUACUCCAGUAAUGGGAAAGAUUUAUCGCUAUAAGAUUGGCCCGCGCAAGAUUAGCUUGUUGGUGAGGUAAAAGCUCACCAAGGCUUCGAUCUUUAGCUGGUUUGAGAGGACGAUCAGCCACACUGGGACUGAGACACGGCCCAGACUCCUACGGGAGGCAGCAGUAGGGAAUAUUGGACAAUGGGGGCAACCCUGAUCCAGCAAUGCAGCGUGAGUGACGAAGGCCUUAGGGUUGUAAAACUCUUUCAUCGGUGAGGAUAAUGACAGUAGCCGAAGAAGAAGGACCGGCUAAU
rnacentral:rRNA from 1 species